rnacentral:tRNA from 1 species
GCUCUGGUAACUCAGAUGGUAGAGUGAUUGAUUUGUAAUCAAUAUGUCAUAGGUUCAAUUCCUAUUCAGAGCU